CCCUCUCAACCACAAUAACAGGCGGAGGGUCGGCGUAGGUACUUUGAACUCAAGUAAACAAAAGGGAAUAUUUUCUCGUUGAUACUGGAGACUGCACAACAAUGGGGCCACGAAAAAAAAGUGUGAAAACAUGUAUCAUGAAUAAUGAAAUUCCAGAAGAAAUGACAGCAGAUGAAACAAAGGACUAUAUGAAUCAACUUUCACAUGAAGUACUUUGCCAUAUUUUUAGGUACCUGCCUCUGCAGGAUAUCAUGUGUAUGGAAUGUCUUUCCCGGAAACUAAAGGAAGCAGUGACCCUAUAUCUGCGAGUUGUGAGAGUUGUAGAUCUCUGUGCAGGGCGGUGGUGGGAAUACAUGCCAAGUGGCUUUACAGAUUCCAGUUUUCUAACACUAUUAAAGAAGAUGCCAGAUGUUGAACAGCUAUAUGGCCUUCACCCUCGAUACCUUGAGAGGCGAAGAGUAAGGGGCCAUGAGGCUUUUAGCAUUCCAGGAGUCCUGGAAGCUUUGCAGGCAUGCCCAAACUUAGUGGGUGUGGAAACUUCUCAUUUGGAGUUGGUAGAAUCCAUUUGGACAUAUAUGCCCCAUGUUCAUAUUUUGGGGAAAUUUCGUAAUCGUAAUGGAGCUUUUCCAAUUCCUCCUGAAAAUAAACUGAAAAUUCCUGUAGGAGCCAAAAUCCAAACUUUACAUUUAGUUGGUGAGUACAUGUUUCUUGGGUCACUUGUAACUCCUUGAAAUGCCAUAAAAUG
rnacentral:sRNA from 1 species